CUCUUCCCCACCAUGAUCUCCGUUUGGUUUCCCCUUGCCUUAUAACUAUUUAAAUACAUUUUACUAACUUCAGAUUCCUUGCUCAUUUCACUUCACCUGGCUGAGCAGGUCUGCAAGGGCUCAAGGGCUAGCUCCUCCACUUUUAUUAUUUUAUUUAUUUUUCAGUCAUUGUUUUUAUUAAAAUAACCAUGUUCAGAGGAAGAGUCCGACACACAUAAAUAAUGGGAACUGCUAAUAGUAAGCAGGCUGCUCUAAAAUGUGCUGGGGCUUUGACUUAAGGGAAGAAAGCACAGCCCUGCAUUGUCCCUAUCAGGAAGCUGGAGCACAGAAGAGUUCACUGAGGAUCAAAAAAAUGCCGAAGGUCAGAAACAUCCUGGGACACUGCUUCUGUCAAAUCUACAUCACUGGACUAUUUCUACCUCCUCACUAA
rnacentral:lncRNA from 1 species